AAGCUUAUAGAUACCGUCCGGAGCAACGCCGCGUGAACGAUGAAGGUCUUAGGAUCGUAAAGUUCUGUUGUUAGGGACGAAGGGUAAGAAUCAUAAUAAGGUUUUUAUUUGACGGUACCUAACGAGGAAGCCACGGCUAACUACGUGCCAGCAGCCGCGGUAAUACGUAGGCGGCAAGCGUUGUCCGGAAUUAUUGGGCGUAAAGGGAGCGCAGGCGGGAAACUAAGCGGAUCUUAAAAGUGCGGGGCUCAACCCCGUGAUGGGGUCCGAACUGGUUUUCUUGAGUGCAGGAGAGGAAAGCGGAAUUCCCAGUGUAGCGGUGAAAUGCGUAGAUAUUGGGAAGAACACCAGUGGCGAAGGCGGCUUUCUGGACUGUAACUGACGCUGAGGCUCGAAAGCUAGGGUAGCGAACGGGAUUAGAUACCCCGGUAGUCCUAGCCGUAAACGAUGGAUACUAGGUGUGGGAGGUAUCGACCCCUUCCGUGCCGGAGUUAACGCAAUAAGUAUCCCGCCUGGGGAGUACGGCCGCAAGGUUGAAACUCAAAGGAAUUGACGGGGGCCCGCACAAGCGGUGGAGUAUGUGGUUUAAUUCGACGCAACGCGAAGAACCUUACCAGGUCUUGACAUUGAUCGCGAUCUGCAGAAAUGCGGAGUUCUUCUUCGGAAGACGAGAAAACAGGUGGUGCACGGCUGUCGUCAGCUCGUGUCGUGAGAUGUUGGGUUAAGUCCCGCAACGAGCGCAACCC
rnacentral:rRNA from 1 species